rnacentral:pre_miRNA from 1 species
CAUGCACUGGUGGGGUCCCUCGGCCUGGCCUGUGCCCUCUCACAAUCCAGGACCUCUCGGGGGAUGUCAGAGAGCUGGUUUCAGCCCAAUCCCCACAGGCCAGGCCAAGGGACCCCACCGGUGCAUG